rnacentral:lncRNA from 10 species
GGCAGCUCCACCUGCAGCCCCGGUGCGGGAUCCACUAGGUGAAGCCAGCUGGGCUCCUGAGUCUGAUGGGGACGUGGAGAGUCUUUAUGUCUAGCUCAGGGAUUGUAAAUACACCAAUCAGCACCCUGUGUUUAGCUCAAGGUUUGUGAGUGCACCAAUCGACACUCUGUAUCUAGCUGCUCUGGUGGGGCCUUGGAGAACCUUUAUGUCUAGCUCAGGGAUUAUAAAUACACCAAUCAGCACCCUGUGUCUAGCUCAGGGUUUGUGAGUGCACCAGUCGACACUCUGUAUCUAGCUGCUCUGGUGGGGCCUUGGAGAACCUUUAUGUCUAGCUCAGGGAUUGUAAACGCACCAGUCAGCGCCCUGACAAAACAGGCCACUGGGCUCUACCAAUCAGCAGGAUGUGGGUGGGGCCAAAUAAGAGAAUAAAAGCAGGCUGUGGGCGCCAGCAGUGGCAACCUGCUCAGGUCCCCUUCCACACUGCGGAAGCUUUGUUCUUUUGCUCUUUGCAGUAAAUCUUGCUACUGCUCACUCUUUGGGUCCACGCUGCUUUUAUGAGCUGUAACACUCACCGCAAAGGUCUGCAGCUUCACUCCUGAGUCAGCGAGACCACGAACCCACCAGAAGGAAGAAACUCCGAACACAUCCGAACAUCAGAAGGAACAAACUCCAGACGCGCCACCUUAAGAGCUGUAACACUCAC